rnacentral:rRNA from 1 species
UACGUAGGGGGCUAGCGUUGUCCGGAUUUAUUAGGCGUAAAGAGCGUGUAGGCGGCCAGGUAGGUCUGGUGUGAAAACUCGAGGCUUAACCUCGAGAUGUCAUCGGAAACCAUCUGGCUAGAGUCCGGAAGAGGAGAGUGGAAUUCCUGGUGUAGCGGUGAAAUGCGCAGAUAUCAGGAAGAACACCAAUGGCGAAAGCAGCUCUCUGGGACGGUACUGACACUGAGAAGCGAAAGCAUGGGGAGCGAACAGG